GUGCUGGCUUCUGCAGCACAUAUACUAGAAGUGGAACAAUACAGAGAAGAUUAGCAUGGCUCCUGUGCAAAGAUGACAAGCAAAUUCAUGAAGCAAAGGGGAAAAAA
ensembl:snRNA U6 U6 spliceosomal RNA